rnacentral:rRNA from 1 species
UACGUAGGGUGCAAGCGUUGUCCGGAAUUAUUGGGCGUAAAGGGUUCGCAGGCGGCUUUUUAAGUCAGGUGUAAAAGAUCACGGCUCAACCGUGGUAAGCACUUGAAACUGAAAAGCUUGAGUCAAGGAGAGGAAAGUGGAAUUCCUAGUGUAGCGGUGAAAUGCGUAGAUAUUAGGAGGAAUACCAGUGGCGAAGGCGACUUUCUGGACUUGUACUGACGCUGAGGAACGAAAGCAUGGGGAGCAAACAGG